AGCUUGUUGGUGAGGUAACGGCUCACCAAGGCGACGACGGGUAGCCGGCCUGAGAGGGCGACCGGCCACACUGGGACUGAGACACGGCCCAGACUCCUACGGGAGGCAGCAGUGGGGAAUAUUGCACAAUGGGCGAAAGCCUGAUGCAGCGACGCCGCGUGAGGGAUGACGGCCUUCGGGUUGUAAACCUCUUUCAGCAGGGAAGAAGCGAGAGUGACGGUACCUGCAGAAGAAGCGCCGGCUAACUACGUGCCAGCAGCCGCGGUAAUACGUAGGGCGCAAGCGUUGUCCGGAAUUAUUGGGCGUAAAGAGCUCGUAGGCGGCUUGUCGCGUCGGUUGUGAAAGCCCGGGGCUUAACCCCGGGUCUGCAGUCGAUACGGGCAGGCUAGAGUUCGGUAGGGGAGAUCGGAAUUCCUGGUGUAGCGGUGAAAUGCGCAGAUAUCAGGAGGAACACCGGUGGCGAAGGCGGAUCUCUGGGCCGAUACUGACGCUGAGGAGCGAAAGCGUGGGGAGCGAACAGGAUUAGAUACCCUGGUAGUCCACGCCGUAAACGGUGGGCACUAGGUGUGGGCGACAUUCCACGUCGUCCGUGCCGCAGCUAACGCAUUAAGUGCCCCGCCU
rnacentral:rRNA from 1 species